GUAUCUGAAACCUGACGAGGAUGAGAACCUCCGGGGGCAAGAGAUUCGACCCGAGCGAAGCGAGAGAACGUUGCGUCAGCAACGGCCCGCAGUGGCAAGUCAUCCUCUGUCACCGGCAG
rnacentral:sRNA from 2 species